rnacentral:tmRNA from 1 species
UACGCUCUCGCUGCUUGAUCGAAGAACAGUAGAUCGUUGCUUUAUUCAUUUACAAGGUAGAUGAACGAGACAUCUCGCGGAUGGACCUUCCUGAUUCCGGUCCGGGUCCGAGGUGCUCAUAAUUUCAGGAUAGCGAUGUGGAAGCUCCGUACACAUAGCGAAACUUAGGAGAUAAGGUCAUGUUUAGGGUGUUUGUUUCCUUGCGUGAUUCGAAAACCAACAACAAAAUAAGCAUGUAGAAAGCAUGGGUGUUCCUUGUUUGGACGAGGGUUCGACUCCCUCCAGCUCCACUU